rnacentral:rRNA from 1 species
GAUGAACGCUAGCGGCAGGCUUAAUACAUGCAAGUCGAGGGGUGAAAAUGAGGCUUCGGCCAAAACACGACCGGCGCACGGGUGAGUAACACGUACGCAAUCUACCUUAUACUGGAGAAUAGCCCUGGGAAACUGGGAUUAAUACUCCAUAGUUUCAAGAAACGGCAUCGUUUUUUGAAUAAAGCUCCGGCGGUAUAAGAUGAGCGUGCGGUCCAUUAGCUUGUUGGUAAGGUAACGGCUUACCAAGGCGACGAUGGAUAGCGGGCGUGAGAGCGCGAUCCGCCACACUGGUACUGAGACACGGACCAGACUCCUACGGGAGGCAGCAGUAGGGAAUAUUGGUCAAUGGACGAAAGUCUGAACCAGCCAUGCCGCGUGAAGGAUGAAGGCCCUCUGGGUUGUAAACUUCUUUAUUAGGGAAGAAACCUUUCGAUUCAUCGAAAGCUGACGGUACCUAACGAAUAAGCACCGGCUAACUCCGUGCCAGCAACCGCGGUAAUGU